AACUCUAUAAACCACAGGUGAUCUGAACAACUCUCCUAGAUUCCUUCAGCUAUCGGGCAAGUCUCUUUUUGUAGUUUUGCAGGAUGGCUGAAACAUACGUGUUACAUGUGGAACUGUUGGGCUUUGAGAAAAGGUUCUUUCCCAGCCAGCAUUAUGUGUACAUGCUCUUGGUUAAAUGGAGUGAUCAGUCUGAAAAGCUGAUUUACAGACGGUAUCCAGAAAUCUACACUUUUCAUAAAGUGUUGAAGGAAAUGUUCCCUAUUGAGGCAGGAGACAUUGAUGAAAAGGACAGAAUCAUUCCUUCAUUACCCGCUCCAAAAUGGCUGGACAAUCAGAAAACAACAGAGACAAGGCAGGUGACUCUUGCUGAAUACUGUCGUGCUCUGCUCAACCUGCCUCCAAAGAUCUCAGGCUGUCAUCUUGUUCUUGACUUCUUCAAAAUGCGUGUCGAAGAUGAAUCUCCACCAGCCCCACACCCAUACAAAAGAAAUGAGACAUUCAUUAUGUGCACCAAUAGAUCAUGGAGCAACACCUCAUCAGAAAUCACAGGACCUAUCAUGCUUGAGAGCUACAGAGCGAUCGCAGACUACAGCAAGAGCUCAAAGUAUGAACUCACUCUGAGGGCAGGAGAUAUGGUGGACAUAGUGGAGAAAAGCCCAAAUGGCUGGUGGUUUUGUCAGUGUGAGUCUAAGAGAGGCUGGGUUCCAGCUUCAUACUUAGAACCGCUGGAUGGAGCAGAUGAAUCAGAGGAACCAGAGCCUAAUUACACAGGAGAGCUCUACAAAACCAUAAAAGGAUAUACAGGUGUAGAAGAAGAUGAGUUGACUCUUGAGGCAGGAGAGACUAUUGAGGUCAUCCAUAAACUUCUGGAUGGCUGGUGGGUGGUCAGGAAAGGAGAAGAUACAGGCUACUACCCAUCCAUGUUCCUAUGCAGGACAGGAGAGAAGAAAGAGGUGGAUGCUGAGAAGGACGUGGUCAGAAGAUCAACCCCACCACCAAGAAGAUCUACCAUACGCAACGCCCAGAGCAUCUAUACUAAGGGACGUCACCAAAUCAGUCAGGACACCUAUCGUAAGCAGAGUCGACAGUUCUUACAGCAGCGAGGAAGACUAAAUUCACAGUCCAAGAACGUGACAAGAUCUCCACUGCAAAAGAGGAAGACAAACAGAGAGAAAAUUGCAAAAUCAGACUCAUCCAAAGCAGAAGAUCUGGACCAAAAUACUCCAGUCAUUCCUCCCCGGCCCAGUCCUCAGCUCAUUCUGGAGCGCUGCACUGAGAACACAUGCAAGAGAGUCAGCAUACAUGAAGGUGACUAUUAUGACAUUAAUCAACAUUCGCUGCUGUGGCAGACAUGGCUGGCAUAUAGGUCUCCGUGCAUAUGCCACGCCCCACUAGCACCCCAAGGAGGAAUAAGCAGCAAGAUGACAGACCCGUGUUCCAGUAUGUCGGUCAACACAGGAAGCCCAAAGAGAAAGUGUUUGUAUGUGGCUUCAGCUACACAGGUGCUUUAGGAAUCCCUAGUUUUGUAGUGCCUGACAGUGGCAGGAAAAAGCCCAGGAAGUACCAGCUCACACCUGGAUACUGAACAGAAGAUUUCCUCAGCUGCUUGUGGAUAUGGCUUCACCCUGCUGGCAUCUAAUACCAGAGACCUGACCAUUUGUGGGGCAUAGGCCUGAACAAAGAUUCCCAACUGGGCUUUCAACGUACACAACAAGACAAACAUAAGAGUUAUGACUGUGUCCCGGAGCCGUCUCCAGUGUCUCUCCCUCUCUCACAGACUUUGAGGGAGGUGAGGAAACAUUGGGUCAUUGUCAUAUUAACAUUCUGAGAUGUGAUGUGCAGAUUUAUUGUCAUUUUUUCAUUGAAUGUCGGAGUCGUGACGCAGUGAGUGUGCAAGUGCUCAGGACACAUGAGUCAUGUGCCUAUCGGGUUCCACCUCAAUUUCUCGACCUUCAUGUCUGCUCUCUACUCUCUUGUUAAUAAAUGCACAACAUUUUUUUACGUUUUAUAAAAAAGUUUUUUAUAAGUUUUGUAUUAAAUAUCCUAGUUAACAUGGCUCUCAAUGUUUGGUUAGCAUUUUUGCUUGGAGACACUUCACAAAAAGGUCUAUGAUCUUUUCUGAAACCUUUAAAUUCCUUUCAUAUUCUGCAUAAAUGUAUUAAAAUAAAAAGAUUCCUGAUUAAAAAACAUUGGUAACACUUUACAAUAAGGUUUAAUUUGUUAACUUUAGUUAACUACAAUAGUUAAGAUGAACUAACAAUGUUGUUAAAAACAUUAACAAAGAUUCAUAAAUGCUGCAAAAAAAUUAUUGUUCAUUGUUAGUUCAUGAUAUCUAAUGCAGGAACCCUAUUGUAAAGUGUUACCAAAACAUUUAGAUAAAAUAGCUUUUCAGUUAUUUUUUAUCUGAUUUUCCUUUUUUGCUGACGUCACUUAGGCCAUGCGAGCUGUUGGAUAAAGUUAACCAAUAGCCAAAUAGCUUUUUAGGCAUUGUUUUAGCAAACCUGCAUUCAGGUGUGACGCCAUUCUGGUGUGGGAUAGCCAUUUUUUCAUGAUCCAAUCCACUCGGAAAUGUGUCACAUUACAAAUAAAAGAGGUUGUGAAUGGGAAAAAAUAGCAUGCUAUGAAUCCACAGACAGCUUUAGUAUUUUUUUUUAUUAAUCAGCAGUGAUAACCCUUAAAUUUUCUGUUUUAUGGAAAUUCAAUAUUUCUUAUAUUAAAUGUAAUCUUGCAGUAUAAUUCCCUAUCAGUCAUUAUAACAGAGUAUAAACAUAGACUAUUUAGCCCUGAAACGGAGCACUUGUAUUAAAAUGAGUGGAAGAAAUUGGAAUGGAUGUAGAAAAAUUUCUACCUUUCAGAUACAGACGUUGCCUCUUAGUUAACUCGAGAACAUGCAUGCGCAUUAGCAGGACCAGACUGAAAAAUUGCGUGUUUGAGCUGAAGCAGCACAAUUUAUGACAUUAUUUUUGUCAGAUUUUACUGCAGAUUUGAAGUAUGUGAUUUGAUUGUAAUCUUGACCAACCGUUUUUUGAGAUUUCAGUCUUUCCUCAUUCAAGUAUAUAGGAGCUGUACAUUUUUUGCUGCUUAUAUCCAUAGAAAAUGGCUGCCCAGGAGCAUUCCAAAGAUGGCACCCAGUGGACUGACUUGCCUUGAAAGAAACUUUUGUACAAACGGUCCUGUUUCUGUUGUCCAGUAGGUGGCUUGUGGGCAGGAUCACAGUCUAUUUGUAACAGAGAGAGGCUCUGUGUAUGCCUGUGGGUGGGGGGCAGAUGGACACACAGCUUGGUUUCAUCAUC